rnacentral:lncRNA from 1 species
AUGCCAGGUGGGAGGAGGUGGCCCUCUGGCUCCUCAGAACAGACCCUUUUAGAAAAGCAAGUCUCCCCAAAGACAGGGUUGCAGAAAUUAAUCACCAAGCCUCCAGAAUUAGAAAGAGGGUUCUUAUGCCUGGAUGUGGGCUUUGGGCAUUUAGGAAGUAGAUGUGUCUCUGGCUUUUCCAGAACCGCUGCUCCUGUCUGCUCCCACUGUCUCCUCCAUCCUCAGAGACCUCAUGUCUUUGCGGGAAGGAGGGAGGGUGGCGAUUCUCUGCCUGCAGGGCCGGUGGAAAAGGAACAAAGAAGCUGCAUGAAAAGGGAAGACAUGAGCUACAUCACUCCGAGAGAAGCGAAACAGGGAGAGGGGCCGCCCUGGCUUCCCAGAGGACCAGAGCUGGGCGCUGGACCGGAACCCAGAGCACCUCCUACCGGCCAGAUGAAAAUCUGGAUAUCCACAAACAAAUGAAGAGCGCUAGAAACGGCAUGUAUGGGUAUAUGUGUAUAUAUCUAUAUAUUCUUACUACUUAAAUAUAUUUAAAAGAUAAUUGUUGGGAAUGAAAAAUGGUAUAGACACUCUAAGAGAGUUUGGUGGUUUGUUAUUAAACUAAAUAUAUUCUCACCAUACUAUUCAGCAAUCAUUUUCCUAUUUACCUAAGUAGUUGAAGUUUAUGUCCACACAAAAAUGUGGAUAUGAAUGUUAAUAUCGGAAGCCUUGAUUGGAAGCAAUUAAGAUGUCUUUAGGGCUUCCCUGGUGGCUUAGAGGGUAAAGCGUCCCCCUGCAAUCCCGGGAGACCUGGCUUCAAUCCCUGAGUUGGGAAGAUCGCCUGGAGAAGGAAAUGGCAACCCACUCCAGUACUCUUGCCUGGAAAAUCCCAUGGACGGAGGAGCCUGGCAGGCUGCAGUCCAUGGGGGUCGCAAAGAGUCGGACACGACUGAGCGACUUCACUAAGAUGUCUUUAAAUAGGUGAAUGGAUAAACAAAACUAUGGUGCAUCCAUGCAAUAGAAUUAUAUUUCAGUGGUAAGAAAUGAGCUAUCAAACCACAAAAAGACACGGAGGGAUGUUAAAUGAGUAUUACUAAGUGAAAGAAGCCAGUCUAAAACCGUGAAAACUGCAUUGUUUGUUAAGGGUUAGGGGGAGGAGGAGGAGAGGUGGAGCACAGAACAUUUUUGUCAGUGAAACUAUUCUAAAUGAUGCUGUAAUGGUGGAUGUGUAACAUGCAUUUGUCAAAACCCAUAGAAUUUUCAACUCAAAGUGUGAGCCUUAAAGUAAACUGUGAGCAUUAGCUUUUUAAAAAUGUAUCAAGAUUGGUUCAUUAAUGGCGUACGUAAAAUGUUAAUAAUAGGGGAAACUGGUGGUGGGAGUCCAGAGAGGGUAUAUGGGAAUUCUGUACUUUCUAGUACAGUUUUUCUAUAAACCUAAAAAUGCUUUCAAAAUAAAGUAUUAAAAUUUAAAGAAAAAUAGUAACCAUGCAUUAUAUGUAAAAUAUAUGUAGAUAUAUACAUAAAAUAUAUGCUAGAAUAGCAUAAAUACUGGAGGUGAGAAAACAAAUAUAUUCUGAGGUAACAUCACACAAAUGUGCUGUGUAAUAGAUAUAUACUACCCCAAAACAACUGGUAAAAUAAAAAUAUGAUAAGCCAACAAGGGAUAUAAAGUGGAUCAUUAAAAAAUUAUUACUUUGGAAAAAAGCAGAAAAGAAAGAUCAUGAACAGUUUAGAUAAAAUAAGGCCUAACAGGUUUCUGGUCUAGUGUGUGAGGAGUUUGGAAGUCAUUACUCUAUCCUAACAAUUAAAAGGCCGAACAAACUGAAAAUCAGCAGAUCUUCUUAGGUAUGUCAGAGAAGUGAGGUUACAGGGCAAACUGCUACCCCCAAAUUGGAGAGACGGGUGGAUACAUAGAAUCACAGCUUCUGUAGGAACCUACACAGAUGUCAGAAAAAUGUCUGGAGGUUCAGUGUGGACAAGCAUGAGGGUUAAAAACUCUAGGUGGACAGAAUCAUAGGAUGACCUUCAGACUUCCAUGAGUUUUACCUCCAGCAGUUGGACCAGGUUCUUGUUAUGAGUCCAAGCUCAUACUGCUCACCAUGAAUCAAGAGAUGGGGUGUUGGGACAAGGAAUAGUGACUUUUUCAGGAAACCCAGCAGAUUGACAAGGUGGUAGACACGUGCCCCACUGAACAAUCUUACCUGAGUUAGAAUUCAGGUUUGUUUUGUACUAAAAUGGGAGGGGUGCGGCUGGUUGUUGUAGACUCCUUGAUGUCAGCCAGACUCAGAGAGGAUGUGAUAAUCCUUUGUUCUCGCAGAUGUCCACAUAGAUCUGUUCGUUGGGUUCGUGUAAACUUCCAACAAGAAAAAUGUUAUUCUCAAACCUGCAACUUUUUAUCUCUGUAUGAAUGAGAAGUGUUAUUCUUUUAAAGGUCAAUCCUGGAAGGUGGAGCCUUGAGAAGGGACUGUCCUAUGUGUUUCAGGCUAUAAUCAACUUUCCUUUACAAAGGUGCGGAACCAGCAGACUAAGCCCAGGCAAGAGAGCACAAAGGUAGGCGCUAAUGAAAUAGAUCUGAUAUGGAGUCAGAGUUGUUAUUCUGUGUUACAUUCUCACAAUAAAUAUCAGAGAAAAAUCCCCACCUGCUUCCUUCAUGGGUAUGGGGA